CCGAAAGGCAGGAGUGCCUGCAAGGGAGCGCGGAGACAGGUGGUGCAUGGCUGUCGUCAGCUCGUGUCGUGGGAUGUUGGGUUAAGUCCCGCAACGAGCGCAACCCUCACCUCUUGUUGCCAUCAGGUCAUGCUGGGCACUCUAGAGGAACUGCCCCGGUCAACGGGGAGGAAGGCGGGGAUGACGUCAAGUCAUCAUGCCCCUUACGUCCUGGGCUACACACGUGCUACAAUGGCCGGUACAAAGGGAUGCCACACCGCGAGGUAGAGCUAAACCCAAAAAGCCGGUCUAAGUUCGGAUUGGAGUCUGCAACUCGACUCCAUGGAGGAGGAAUCGCUAGUAAUCGCGUAUCAGCACGACGCGGUGAAUACGUUCCCGGGCCUUGUACACACCGCCCGUCACACCACGAAAGCCAGCUGUACUCGAAGUCG
rnacentral:rRNA from 1 species